AACGAACGCUGGCGGCAGGCUUAACACAUGCAAGUCGAACGCAUCCUUCGGGGUGAGUGGCAGACGGGUGAGUAACGCGUGGGAACAUGCCCUCAGUUCGGAAUAACCCAGGGAAACUUGGGCUAAUACCGGAUACGUGCGAGAGCAGAAAGAUUUAUCGCUGAAGGAGUGGCCCGCGUCUGAUUAGCUAGUUGGUGAGGUAAAGGCUCACCAAGGCGACGAUCAGUAGCUGGUCUGAGAGGAUGAUCAGCCACACUGGGACUGAGACACGGCCCAGACUCCUACGGGAGGCAGCAGUGGGGAAUAUUGGACAAUGGGCGCAAGCUUGAUCCAGCCAUGCCGCGUGAGUGAUGAAGGCCUUAGGGUUGUAAAGCUCUUUCGGCGGGGACGAUAAUGACGGUACCCGCAGAAGAAGCCCCGGCUAACUUCGUGCCAGCAGCCGCGGUAA
rnacentral:rRNA from 1 species